GCCGGGGUCACUGCACGACAGCGGCCUUCCGCCGCUGCCCUCCAUCAGCAAUGGACGCAAGUCUCGCUGGUCUGCCCGGCCGCAGUCGGGUAGCUCCGUGCUUAGUUUCUCCCUGCUGCGCUGAGCUCAGAGAGUGAGCUGUUAGCGGAGCGACCGGGGAGUGCUGUCGUCCCGUCCGCGCGGAACGGAUAGGGAGGGCGGUCUGGCGGGUGCCUCGGCAGGCAGUGCAGGAGAGGAAGCAGAGAGGCAGCAGGAAGGAGGCUCGGAGGAGACUUCAGAGAGACAGCAGGAAGGAAGUUGGGAGGAAUCAGCAGAGAGGCAGUAGGAAGGCAGCACAGAAGCAGCUAGGGAGGCAGCUGGUAGGCAGCUGUUGUAGGCGGCUGCCCCUGUAGUGACCAGCAUCCCGAACCAACGCAUCCGCCCAGAAGCUAAGCCCUGAGAAUAGUGAUUCUAGAUGAACACAACAGGGCAAAAGCAGUGCACAUCGAUUGGGUCACGCCGCCGAGGUUUCUCUCUGGUGCUCGUGCCUCGUAGCUCCAGCCCGAUGCUGGGCUGGAGGCGGUCGGUUUGCUGAGCGGUUUGGGGUGUUUUAGUGGUAACUGGUAUCCGGUGCAUUGCAAUGUCGGCUACCGUCUACCGUCCACACAUUGCGCUCGUGACGCUUUGUACAAUCUCGAUGUAUAGCUGUCAAUGUACGAAUAGUUUCUUGAGUCCUGCAGACUGCAGUUGCGUUCCAAUAUCGCUAUCACGGUCUCCGUCCCCUCAACCCGCCGGGGACGAUUUUUCCCCAGGGAAACGUCUGGUGCAUUGUGGCCGUGGGCCGACCGGUGUUUUUCAGUCUGCUCUGCAAACUGUAAUACCAAUGCGGCCAGUUGCCGCUGUAUGUGCGUGUGGUCUGAAGCGCUGCUGGGAUUCACGACCGGUGGGCGGUUGCCCACCUUAGCAAGUACAUUAGGCAGAAAAUAUUGUGCAGCGUGACAUUAUGUCAUGAUGAGGCAUUAAUGGCGAAACAGUUCAAUAUGUAGACAGGCUCUCUGGCUACAAUCAGUACCGUCAGUGCAUCGAAACUGUGAUAAGCUAUUUAUUUUCUUCUAGGGUAUAAACACCCUGUUAUCCCCUCUUGUUUGAAAUAUACUUCGUGGUGCA